rnacentral:rRNA from 1 species
GAUGAACGCUGGCGGCGUGCCUAACACAUGCAAGUCGAGCGAACAGACGAGGAGCUUGCUCCUCUGACGUUAGCGGCGGACGGGUGAGUAACACGUGUAUAACCCACCUAUAUUACUGGGAUAACUUCGGGAAACCGGAGCUAAUACCGGAUAAUAUAUUGAACCGCAUGGUUCAAUAGUGAAAGACGGCUUUGCUGUCACUUAUAGAUGGAUCCGCGCCGCAUUAGCUAGUUGGUAAGGUAACGGCUUACCAAGGCGACGAUGCGUAGCCGACCGGAGAGGGGGAUCGGCCACACUGGAACGGAGACACGGACCAGACUCCUACGGGAGGCAGCAGUAGGGAAUCUUCCGCAAUGGGCGAAAGCCUGACGGAGCAACGCCGCGUGAGUGAUGAAGGUCUUCGGAGCGUAAAACUCUGUUAUUAGGGAAGAACAAAUGUGUAAGUAACUAUGCACGUCUUGACGGUACCUAAUCAGAAAGCCACGGCUAACUACGUG